UUGGAACUGAGACACGGUCCAAACUCCUACGGGAGGCAGCAGUGAGGAAUAUUGGUCAAUGGGCGGAAGCCUGAACCAGCCAAGUAGCGUGAAGGACGACUGCCCUAUGGGUUGUAAACUUCUUUUAUGCGGGGAUAAAGUUCGCCACGUGUGGCGUUUUGCAGGUACCGCAUGAAUAAGGACCGGCUAAUUCCGUGCCAGCAGCCGCGGUAAUACGGAAGGUCCAGGCGUUAUCCGGAUUCAUUGGGUUUAAAGGGAGCGUAGGCCGCCUUUUAAGCGUGUUGUGAAAUGUAGACGCUCAACGUCUGCACUGCAGCGCGAACUGGUUUCCUUG
rnacentral:rRNA from 1 species